ensembl:lncRNA
AGCCCGGUCUGUAUGGAGGGGCCCGGCCAAGAGCACAGCCCUGGAGAAGGAGCUGGAAGGCGUCCCCAUGAGCUCACCGCCACGUGCUGCCCAGCAGGAAAAGGGGGAAAAAAGGAGGAAAACGAUAUGGAUUGGGGCCGGGGGGGCACACACGGCCCCAUACAGCCCCACUGCUCCCCACCCCAUUGAUCCCCACUGCCGCUCUCUCCCUCCAUCCCCACUUCUCCCCCCACACCAAACACCCCGGGUGGGUAUUCUGCCCCAAACGCUCCCUUUCCCCCCCCAAGCCCCCCCUCUUCCCUUUGGGGACAGAAUGGGGACCAGGCUGGGGAGGCCCCCCCCCAAAUCCCCUCUAACCCCCCCUCCCCUCCCCCCCCCAGCCCGUGUUGGGGGCUGCAGCCCCACAGCUCCGCGGGGUCGCCCUCACCGCAGAGGGGCGUUUCUGUCCCGUCCCCCCCCAGAAGUGUCACCCAAACGUUCUCAGCGCGGGGGGGGCCCUAUAAAAUUGGGGGGGGGGGAGGGGGGGGAGGUGACAUCUGGGUGCCAUAGGGACGUGCUGCCCUCUGGUGGCCGCACGUCGGAACCGCACCCCCCGGUGGGGAAACUGAGGCACAGCCCCGACCCCCCCCGGGGGUCCUUCCCGUGCACCGAAGGGGGGGCGGUAACGUACCCACGCGUACCCCCGGGACCCCACGGAGCCCCCGCCGCC